AGCCGGGGCGCAGCGGGGCAGAGUAAGCUCCUGCACACCGAAGGGCGCAGGGGCCGAGAUGCAACGGCCAAGCUCGCUCUGAGAGCCAAAGUCCUCGACGUCCCCCUCCCCCCUCAGAGAGCGGUCCCGGGGGAGCGGCGGGUCCUGAGGCGGCCCCACCCGUGGCUCCGGUGUCCCCUCACGGCCAGGGGGUGCCCCCCCCCAAACCCCCGGCAGCCAUUUUGUGUCCCAGACGCUCCUUUAGUGUCGCCCACAGGGACAGCUGUUGGCAACGGCUCAGAAUUCAGCUCUAGGAUGAAAGGGCAUUGGGGCAGCACAUGGAGCCAGCGAGGCGGCCCUCGUGAGGUGCACACGGGCUGUUCAUGGGGGAAUAUGUGCACAGAGGCGAGCCCGCGGACCUUUCUGCCACCAAAGGCAGCUGCCUGAAAACACGGGCACAGGGGAGCUCUCGAGGCUCCCUGGAAAUGCCGGCAGAGCCUCCAUGGCCCUGAGCAAGCUGGUGUGACAGAGAACAGCAUUGACAGGGUCCUCCAGUACUGCCCCUUCGGGUAGAGCAGCAGCUCUGACAUCUUCUAUCAAAACAGUGCAGCUCUUCCACAGAGGGAGCUGGGGUGGAAACUCUUGGCUGCUUCUGUGAUACUGCUACGGAGAACUGACAGGGAUUAACUGCAAUACCACUGGAGCUCUCCAGGUGACUGCAGGACAAACCACACACACCAUGGGCAGCAGGAAGCCACUGUGCUGGGCUGCAGCUGCUGCAGUGCAAUUUCCAUUGUCAGCUGAAAGGUACUUACAAAGUGAGGGGAGAACCUCCUGUCGAAGUCACGCUGAGCCAGGAUUCCUCCUUGCCCGGGAGCACUAGUGAAACCAACCUGGAAGAGGCAGGGAAAAGACAAGCUUUACCACUUUCCUUCUUGGGGCAGAGCUGGGCAGGGUGAGAGCUCAGGGACAUCGCCCCGACCAGGCUGCUGCAAGAGCACUGUCAGGGGUAUCUGCAGGGCUCCUCUAAAUCGUCCACUUACCACGACCUGUCCUCCCUCCUGUGCCAGGUACGUGAUGGUGGCAGAGGUGAAGUUGAAGUAACCAGCUUUGAGAGGCCGCAGAACCACGGUGUGGGACACGUUACUCGCUCUGGGAGCCGGGCGUUAAGGAAAACGGUUGGAUUUCAUUACAGGAAGAAAACACAGGUGGAAAAAUCAGUGCUGCUGACAGAUCCGAAUGCUUAUGGUCACAGACAGCCCGACCCACCUCCCCCCCGAGGCUGACCCAGCUGCUCCUCCCCAGGCAGAGGAACUUAGGGACCUGGUCCUGUCUGCAAGGAGCUUUCAUUUUACAAGGCACCAUCCAGAAGAGCGGGCAUUCGGAUUGAGCACCCUGUCCAGGCUCUGGCAUGUGGGAAUUUCUGGGACAGGGCAUGAAGACAGGAUGAAGCUGCAGGAUGCUCAGGGGGAAGAAAAUUUCAAACCAUUAAAAGAUACGGAGCGAUCCUGUCCCACUUGACAUUGAGCAUGCCAGAGACGAUGCCAAAAUCCUCUGGGGGGAAGGAAUCAUCCGACAGUUCCACAUCCAGGGCAGCACUGAACACAACAAAGGCAGGGAUGAGAACGGAAUCUUAAGACUUGGCAUCUGCUCAUGGGAUCUGCAGCAAAGUGGGCUGACAGUUCCCUCCUGACCCAAUGGAAGAACUGAUUUGUGAAAGAGGAAAAGUCACCAACACAACAUGGCAAGGAGAGUUGAGGUGUCUUAUGGAGAGACUGCAGAGAGAAGGCACAGCUGAGAGAAACAGCCACAAAGACAGGAAAUACACUGGUUUUUCCACAAUAGAAUUUGGCAGAUACCAUCCCACAGACACACCCUUUGGCCUAAAUAAUAAACAAAUCCCACGUAUAAAGUUACAGUAUCUCAUUAAUAUUGUAAGAGUCCAAUAUUGCAACACCAUAAAUACUCCUCUCAGCAGUACUGCACUCAGCAUACAUGACUCUGCCUUUAAAAAAAUCUAAAAAAAAACCCCAAAAAACAAACACUUUAAUACUCUCCUGCAUUUUGUCCAAUCAGCUUUUCAUUCUGAGAAUAAAGCUUUUUACCAGCAUUGUGGAAGUUCUGUUUUACCUUUGUCAGGUCUUUAGAGAAGUCCUGACAGGAAAAAGGAAUUUUUAUUAAAAAAAAAAAAAAGUGCAAAAGAGCUCACAAAGCCAGUCAAGAGAGCUGUGUGCAUGGGGAGCAGAGUGUCCCAGGACACCACAGGAGCUACAUGUCCAUGCUGGACUGACAGCUUGAGCAGCCAUGAGUGGAAAGCAGGGACAAGGGAAGAGGAAGGGAAAGGCAAAUUGCAGGGUCAACCCUUCAGGCACUGCUGGAAAGCUCAGAGUUCAGGGGAGCAAAGGCACCAGCACAUCAUGGAGCUCAGAAAUCACCUCCUGCCCUGUAGCCACACACAGAAUCUUUGCUCCUGGUUCGUACUGAAGCCUGGACAGGGCUUACCUUGAGCCAACAUUGUAGAUGUUGUACUGCAAAGUCAAGUCCUUGCCCUCCACCGCGUAUCUGUUUAACAGAGAUUUGGAGGCCAGGAGCCUGGCACCAUCCUCACAGCGGGACACAGACACCAGGGCACACAGGGUGAGGAGCAGGAGCUUCAUCUGGAAACACAGGUCAGUGGAAUGUCGCUGAUUGUUUGAAAUCUCUGAACUCUCUUCUGGGAGGCUGUAAGAAUUGGGAUAGCCAUGUCCCAGAUCUGCAGCCAUGGAAGAAAAGUCAACAGUUUCCUCCCCUUUCAAAGCCCCAGCCAGUAUCACGGCCCUUUACAGAAUCAUCGAACAUCCUGAGUUGAGAGGGACCCACAAGGAUCAUUGCAUCCAACUCUGGGCUCUGCACAUCUCAGUAAUGAGCAAAGCUCUUGGAUCACAAAGCCUCUUCCAGUAACUUUGAAAGCUCUGGAAAUUAACAGUUUCACCAGUUUUAGCAAUUAACAGUUAAUUGCCCUUGUGAAGCCUGGCUGCUUUCCAGCACCGUCUUACACAACAGUUAGUUCUUCACAGAAAGCACCAGCUCCUCACUUCCAACAUUUGUUCUUAUUUCCUAUUUCCAGCCACUGAGGAAACACCAACUCCCUCCAACAGCCUCGUCAACUCCCUCCAGCAGCCUCACGAUCCCCAAAAGUCCCUCUCCAAGCCAGGUGUCCCAAUUCACCCAAACUCAGUGCCCCAGGAGCUGCCCUGUUGAGAGGACAAGGAGACCAUAGGGACAUUAUAAACAGGACCCAUGAGGACACUUGGUGGGGCUGAGAAAUGCAAAAACUGCUCCAAUGUCAGGGGCUCCACUCUCCACAGUCACAGAGUGGUUAGGCUUGGAUGGGAUCGUGAAGCCCAUCCAGUUCCACCCAUCUGCCAUGGGCAGAGACACCUUCCACUAGACCAGGUUGCUCCAAGCCUUGUCCAACCUGGCCUUGAACACUUCCAGGGAUGGGGGAGCCACAGCUUCUCCAAGCAGCCUGUGCCAGGGCCUCACCCCCCUCACAGGGAAGAAUUUCAACCCAGUAUCCCAUCUAACCCUGCCGUCUGGUAGUGGGAAGUCUUGUCCAAUCACUCCAGGCCCUUGUCCAAAGUCCCUCUCCAUCUCUCCUGGAGCUCCUUUAGACACUGGAAGGGCUUUAAGGUUUCCCUGGAGCCCUCUUUUCUCCAGGGAACAUCCCCAGCUCUCCCAGCCAGUGUCCAGAGCAGAGGGGCUCCAGCCCUCAGACCAUCUCUGUGGCCUCCUCUGGACCUGCUCCAGCAGCUCCACAUCCUUCCUGUGCUGCAGACCCCAGGGCUGGAGGCACCACUGGGGGGGGGGGGGGGGGGUGUCUCACCUCAGCAGAGCAGAGGGGCAGAAUUUCCCACCUCACGUGCUGCCCACACUGUGGGGAUGAGCCCAGCUCAGCGUUGGCUUUCUGGGCUCCCAGUGCACGUGGCUGGGUCACGUUGAGCUUCUUGUCAACCCACGCCCCCAAGUCCUUUUCUUCUGGGCUGUUCUCCAUCCAUUCUCCCUCAGCCCGUGUUUGUGCUUGGAGUUGCCCUGGCUCACGUUCAGCACCUGCCCUUGGCCUCGCUGAACCUCCUGGGUUUGUCACGGACCCCCCUGCAGCGCUGCAGCCCGGCCCGCUGCCUGUGCCAGAGGCCCCUUCCUUCCCCCCAGUCCUGCCCUGCUCCGGCCGCAUACCAGCGUGUCCAGCCCGGGUGACCUGCUCCUGCCCAUCCGCGCAGCACAGGGGCUCAGUCCGGGUUCACCCACCGCUGUCUGCGGGAGACACCGACCCCCUCCAGCGACAGAGCCUGGUCGGUCCCUCCCGGCCCCUCAGAGCCCACAGCCGAGCCUCCCCCAUAGAUCCUCCCCACCGCCUCCCCGUCCGCCCCGAGCGCCGAGGACACGGCCCCGAUCGGCCCCGAUCGGCCCCGGCGGCCGCUCCGCCCUCACCGUCUGUCUCCGCCGCCGCCACAGAGCCAGGUCAGCCCAGACGCAGCGGAAGUGACACACUGAACAGCGCCCCGCGGCCUCCCAUGCCCGCCGGGAAAUGGAGUACGGCCUCGCCCUCCAGCGGGAACUCCGCGCCUGCGCAGAACGAGAGCCCUGUGCUGCCCCCUGGUGGCGGAGGGCGGGACCGGGGCGGGGGAGGAUCGGGGGGAAGUUUCCCAAGGGUGGGACGCACGGACCCCCAGACUGUCCCUCCCUGCGCUGGGGUCGCUCUGCUUGAUUCACCCGCCUCAGACAGGCUCCAGCUUUGUGCUGCCCUCGGAUCAGAACGCGUCCCGAAGGCAGUAACAAAACAAACCUGCCGGCAUUCCCAGGGAGCCUCGAGAGCUCCCCUGUGCCCGUGUUUUCAGGCAGCUGCCUCUGGUGGCAGAAGGGCCCCCAGGGCCUCCUCUGUGCACAUAUUCUCCCAUGAACAGCCUGUGGGCACCUCACGAGGGCCCCCGCGCUGGCUCCAUGUGCUGCCUCAAAUGCUUCCUUGGAGCUCCCUACUCACAAUCUUUGCCAACGACUCUACCUGCACCUUCUUUCCUCUUUCCCUGCUGCCCCGGGCAAAGCUCCUCCAAGCUGCUGACUAUGGAAAGCAACCCAGAGGUUCGAUCCCUGUUGGCCAUUGAGGCCACAUAACCACAGGUUGGGCUUCUCCCUCCCAGCCCACCCCUGUGCAGGGUUUGCUGCAGCCAGGGCAGGCUGGUCCCAGUCCUCAAACACUGACACGGCACCUGUCCUGGGCCUGAGACCCUCAGAGAUUUUUCUGUGGAGCAGGAGCAUUUGCUGGAAAUGUUUCAUUCCUCCCCAGUAAGCAAAUUUCUUGGUGCUUCUGGUCAGUAUGGAAUGGCUCUCAGGACACAAGAGGAGAUCACAUAGCUCCAUUGGCACGCACAGAACCGUAUUCCGGAAGAUUCCGACUCCCAUGUUAAGAAGGGAUGAAGCCACACACUAAUCAGGGGUUCCAAGAAGGUGCUGUGCAGGCAGCCUUUGGAAUUGGAGGAGCAUUUGAGGUGAGCUGGGCCAUAACAAAGAGGAACUGAGGACCGCUGAUUCCUCACAAGCACAGUGGUAGUUUUGUGUCUUUUGGUACCUUUGGUGCCACAGGCAAUGACGGCUGCAGCGUCCUGUGCUGGAAUGGGUGCAGGGCAGGGGAGCAGGAGGCCAUGGAGCUUUUGAGGCCAGGGUUGUUGUGGUGACGGAUGUGAUACUGACACUCCAGUGUGUAACUUUGGCUGGAUAGAAGCCCCAGUGCAGCACAUUUUCCAGAAGUUGAUGGCAUUGCUGCCCCUUGUUGAUUAUCUCACUCCCAGUGGCCCAGCAGGAUCUCUCUUGAGCAGUGCAGCUCUGGCCGGAAGUUGUUCCUAAGUGUGGAACACAAAAACCCCUAGUCAAGGUAAAAUCAUGUGUUUUGGAGAUGGAAAAGGAAAAUCAAACACUUAUGUCAUGGGAGUAUCUUUCCUGGGUAUGUAUAACCACACACACCCCUCUUCAGUAUAAAGUGAGUUACUGAGGUUUGUUCUUUAUUUUACUCUUUAAAGUUUUACACUUCAGUUGCAGUUUUAUUGACGAAGCAACUGUGGUGUGCAACAGCAGUGCAAGGACUGGAGCUGUUGGGGGCGAUAUCCAUUUUUUCUGGAGAGGGGGAGUGUGUCUGGUUUAGGCAUUGUUAAUUUAAUGAGCUGCCGGUCGUGGGAGCUCUUUCCCUUGUCUUGUGCCUCUGGGAGAUUGGAGUGAGAUGAUGUCUGUUGAGACAACCAAAUGUCAGAGUGAGGGAUGGGCAGUGGUGCAGUGGAGGAGUAGGGUGGGUGGGCAGUGGUGCAGUGGAGGAGCAGGUGUGGGGAAGAUGAGGGAGUCCAUGGGGGAGUCCCACCCCGAAAAGUGUCACAGCCCAAAAACGCAUGAAAAUUCAUGGAGAGGGAAUAAAAACUAUUAAACUGUUCAGAGUGUUGAGAGAGUUGAAAUAAAGAGAAAUAUCUCAUUGUUAUAUAGAUUGAAAAUAAUAUUCAACUACAAAUUUUAAAAAGGAUUUAAAACUAAAAAAAGUUUUAUGAAACUAAAAAAACUACAUAAAAGCAUCUUAGAGUUAUAUAUGAAGGAAUUUAAAAAAGAAAAAAGCCUGAAUAGCUAGAACCAUCUACUCUUGUUAUGUGUUAUAGUCAAAGGAGAUGAUAUAUGUAGCCUAAAUAGAGAUUAUACAUAAGUGUAAAUAGAUACUAAAUAGAUAUCUGGAAGUGACCAAUGUGUAAAUAGAUGUAAGUGUAAAUAUCUAAGUCCAAAUAACACUCUAGGCUAAAUGUAUUUUCUGUGCAAUAAGUGUUAAUAUAUGAUCUAAAUAUAUAAAGUCUAAACAGGCAUAGUCUGAAUAGAUACAUAAAAGUGUAAAUAGAAGUAAGGCCAACUAGUCAUUCUACACAAGUGUAAAUACAUAUACGUAAAUGUGUCUCUGUCUAAAUAGUCUCAUCUAACUGAAAAUAGCUGAGCUAGAGAAAUAUAUCUAUGCCCUAAACCUAUCUGUGUCUAAGUAGCUGUGUGUGAAUGUAAAUGUGUGAGUGGGCACAGGCAGACAGCUGGGACAGCCACAAAUCCAUGACUAAAACAUAAGGAGUAAAUUCAUUUCCCUUCCUUCACUAACUGGGGGAUCCCUAAACAAGCCCCAGGCAGAGGCACCCAGGUGGGGACACUGCCAUGGUUAAACUCAGUCCAUGCCAGACGAUUCCUAGCUGGUGGUCCCAGCGGCAAGAUCACUGAGCCAUGUCCAAUCCUCCUUGCCAGUCUCCUGCUUUUAACUGAUUUUCCCCCUUGCUCAAGAAACCGUGGCUGCUGGGGCUGGAGAUGUGGGAUAGGGAAUUUACAGAGAUACAUAAUAAAGCUUAAAGAAAGAACAAACUUGUAAACAUAUAAUGCUCUGAAUUAACUGUCUCAUCCCUCCUGUCAAGGAAUUAAACCACACAGCUAGUCAGGCACCACUGAGAUGUUGUGCGAUUCAAUGUAUGAAGUCCUGAAGAUGCUGUGUUGUCCUCCAUGCUGUGUGAUCCAGCAGUCCUGUCCAAGUAGCACAUCCUCUCUAGCUCAGAACAGCAUUUAUGAUGUCGAAGAGUGUAGCAGAAUGCUCUGCCUGGAUGGGAAUAGAGCAGCUCAAACUUCAUCUUAUGUACAAGUUUUCAGUGGUGGAUUAAGCCACCAGAGUCUGCUGGUUUUAGUGUUCAGGGCUGAGAUCAGCUUGACCAAACUCUCAGGAGUAUAUGCAGGACAGGUGCUCCUUGAGUGAGGCCGGGAGCAGCAGGAGUGUGCAGGAUCUGAUAUGGAAGCGAGAGGCAGAAGUGUUGAGCAGGAGAAACCAAAGAGCUGAUCACACCUUUUUCAGCAGCAAAGCAUAUUUUGCUGAGUAAGCCUGCCAACACAUAAUGUAAAAGUUAAUGUGACAGUCAAUGACUUUAUCCUAUAAAAGGCCAGUCUCGCCUUUUCAUGGUGAAGACUUCAGCACACCUUCCUAAGGCGUGUGAAGAUUUUUCCCUUGAGUGGGGAUGCCCCUCAAGGUUAUGCCUCGAGGCCGAGUGAAAGAGAUUUGCCCACAGUUGCUGGUAUGGGUGAGUAACAUCAAUCUCUACUUUAUAAUUGUUUUUUCUAACUUUAGUAUAAUUGCUUCAAUACUGCCUCAAAAGUAGUGCUCUAUGCUAGAAGUUACAGCUACCUGUCCUGUGUACUAGAUAAUUCUGACUAAGGUCUUUUUGUCUUAGCAUUAUCAUUGUAAUAAAAUUAAAGAAUUAAUUUAUUUUAUUUAUAUAAAUAUAUUUGUUUUACCAUCCUUAAUCCUGCAGGACAAAGGUGUAUAGAGAUAGAGUUACACCUGUGUGAUGCUUUAGACAUAAACUGUUGACCAAGUCUGGGGGAGGGAUUGGAUUUAGCCACACUCAACUCCUCUAUGAGAAGGAGUUUAGAAAACCAAGGGGUCCUUUUUGCACCUUGUGACACAACGGGAGGGCUUCUCUAAUAAACUUUGCCUGAAUCUCCCACUCUGCCCGUGACAAAGAGGGAAGUACUUCAUCAGUAAUCAAUGUUGUAAGAUUCCUUGAUAUAUAGCAGUUACUCCCAAACUUAAGGCAACAGCUGCCUUGAAUGUCCAAGUUAAACCUUGCAUGAGGCCACUUGCCAGCUGCUCCAUAGUCACUACUGCUCUGAAAGAAUAAUAAUAAGUUAGUUACAAUAGAAACCUACACACAAGUUUAUAUAUAUUGGUCCUGCAGAAAUGUAUUCAAGGUAUAUGCUUGCUCUGUGGCCUACAAAACUCAAGAAGCCAGGUUGUGAUAAGGGAGGAAAACAGGAGUGUCAUCUCUGUCCAGUUAUACAUACAGUGUUGCUCCAGCUCCUCCAGAUAAUAUUGCUCCAGGCUUGGGAACUUGAGAUGGAGCAAUUGCCCACAGAGAUUGAAGGGCUGUGGUUUGUACUUUUUAGAUUGAACUUCUAUUUAAUGUUGGGCUUGUGUUAUAGGUUAUAAAUCCAAUAGAGGAAUUUUUCUUCCCCUGCUCCACGGUAAGAAAAUGGAGUGAGUGGGGGCAAGGGGGUCAAUUAGCCUUACAAAAGAACCUAUAUGGCCAGACCGCAUUCCUAACGGAUGGCCCGUCAGAGGCUGGGGGGAGAGGGGAGGAGUUUUGGGUGGGGGUGGCUGACUCUUCUCCGAGGGGAGAGAUCAGACUGCAGAGUUCUCUCUCUGGGACGGAGACAGGGUCUGUGUCUGGGCAUUUUUUGGAGAAAAGGCCUGGAAGCCGGUCUUUCUGGCUUUUCGUCCUGAUGAGGCCUGACCACCGGCCUCGAUGGGCUCACACGCUGCCUUGUGACUCCAGCUGGCACCUACUGGGUUUUCAUCAGAGAGUUGUGUGCUUGCUAGGAGAGAAGGGAAGAGCCUUGAAACACCGUCAUCUGAGAACGACAGUGAGUCCCAUGGGGGUGGACUGCUUUUCCUUCUGCCCUUCUUCCACUGGGGGAAGGGUCUCUGUUUUCUUUUCGGCUUCUCCCGCGGUCCGAGACCACCCCCCAGACCCCUCCCCCCGGUGACCGCCAGAGCCCGACUGCGCCCCCUGCAGGCCAGCACGGAGAACUGCAGGCUCUGCACCUCCAGCGACCCAACAGCGCCCCCUGCCGGCCGUGAUAGAACUGCGCUGAAGGACAGAGAAGUAUUCAGACCUUUUCUUUUGUUUGAGGGGAACUUCUGGGUACAGGACUAUUGUUUAGUUGUUUUUGUGUUCUGUUACUGUUCUUGCCAAUAUACAUAUAUCUUUUAAUAAAGGGUUGUUAUUUCUUCUUUUUUUUCCCACA